UACGGAGGGGGCUAGCGUUGUUCGGAAUGACUGGGCGUAAAGCGCGCGUAGGCGGAUCGGUAAGUCAGAGGUGAAAGCCCGGGGCUCAACCCCGGAAUGGCCUUUGAGACUCCCGAGCUUGAGUUCGAGAGAGGUGGGUGGAAUUCCGGGUGUAGAGGUGAAAUUCGUAGAUAUUCGGAGGAACACCAGUGGCGAAGGCGGCCCCCUGGCUCGACACUGACGCUGAGGCGCGAAAGCGCGGGGAGCAAACAGG
rnacentral:rRNA from 1 species